rnacentral:lncRNA from 1 species
CCACAUUCCAAAAAGCAAGUCUUGCAACCUUAGAAAUUACCCCUUUCCAAUGGAUGUAUUAUCUCAACAUUUUUAGCAGCCUUCUCCUAAAUGUUUCCUAAUGUCACGUACAAAAACAUAGGGAAUUUGCAUGGAAAAUCUUCCACUAGGGAAAAGGAAAACACCUUAAUUUGAAACUGAGCUAACAUGUUGAUUUGGGGGCUUUACGAGCAAGGGUAUGAACAAAGCGGGGCAGUUGGAGAAGCGGAAGAAGAGAAAAAGAGGUGAAGCCAUCAGUGUCUACAGCUUCAGCUAUUGCCCGUGUGCAGAUGGUGCUUAAUCUCUCUUGUGCCUUCCAGACCUGCAUUCCAGCCACCUACCAAACCCCUUUCUGUGGAUGCCAAGAAAAGUCUUCAGACCGUGGACAAUGUGCUCUUUGCCCCUAUUAUGGAGAAAGGUGUUCCCUAGGUGGACUAUCAUCUCCGAACACUCCUAAGAAAUGGAAGAUAGUCUCUUAAGAGGACAGCCCAGAGGUAGUUUGAGGAAACGUCUGACAGCAGGAAAAACAACUUCAGCAGAUGCCCCUUUGGCCAAAGCAUGCUGUUAAAACUGACUCUACUGACACCUGGUGGAGAGUAGGGUAACUUCUCCCUGCUAAAGAGGGUGUGUGUGUAUGUGUGUGUGUGUGUGGGGGGGGGGGGGGUGUGUGGGGUGUGUGUGUGAUGAACGGAUUGGAAACACAUUCAUCAUGUCAGGGAAAUUAAUUCCUAAGGAAUGAGGGUACCAUGCAGAACCACCAGAUGCCAGAAUAUAUAAUUGUGGUUAGGUGACUCACUGAGACACAUGCAUGAAAAACAACAAACAAGAAUGUGAAAAUAAAACAUUAAGACUGCAGCAAAUGAUUUAUUAUUGAUUUUUAAAAAGAGUUUGAUAAUGAGUAAGACAAUAACAAACAAUCCACUCCCUUCUGCAACCCUGGAUGGUGUCAUAAGAAAAGACUCUAGUACUUGACCCCUUGAUAGUAUCAUCUGAAAUUUAAAAGAAAAUUCAAUCUUGUCCCAGGGAGACAGUGUCUCUCAGUCUGAGCCAGUGCUCUGCUGCCUCUGGAAUCUGCAGUGAGCUCCUUCAGAUUUUUAACCCUGGGAUAAAAAGAAUAAUCUUCCUAAAUGGAGUGUUAUGAAGACUGCUGUGCUCCUGAAAUUCCCUUGAAGAUGAAAAUAAAAUUAUCCUAAUAAAUAUA